rnacentral:rRNA from 1 species
ACACGUAGGUGACAAGCGUUAUCCGGAUUUACUGGGCGUAAAGAGCGUGUAGGCGGUCUUGCAAGUCAGAAGUGAAAUUCCUGAGCUCAACUCGGGCGCUGCUUCUGAAACUGCAGGACUUGAGUGCUGGAGGGGAUAGCGGAAUUCCUAGUGGAGCGGUAAAAUGCGCAGAUAUUAGGAGGAACACCAGUGGCGAAGGCGGCUUUCUGGACAGUAACUGACACUGAGGUACGAAAGUGUGGGGAGCAAACAGGAUUAGAUACCCUGGUAGUCCACACCGUAAACGAUGAGCACUAGGUGUCGGGCUCGCAAGAGUUCGGUGCCGCAGUUAACGCAUUAAGUGCUCCGCCUGGGGAGUACGUACGCAAGUAUGAAACUCAAAUGAAUUGACGGGG